rnacentral:rRNA from 1 species
UACGUAGGUGGCAAGCGUUGUCCGGAUUUACUGGGCGUAAAGAGCGCGCAGGCGGUCGUGCAAGUCGCGUGUGAAAGCCCCCGGCUCAACUGGGGAGGGUCACGCGAUACUGCUCGACUCGAAGGCAGGAGAGGGAAGUGGAAUUCCCGGUGUAGUGGUGAAAUGCGUAGAUAUCGGGAGGAACACCAGUGGCGAAGGCGACUCCUGGCCUGUUCUUGACGCUGAGGCGCGAAAGCUAGGGUAGCAAACGGG